AGUGUAGGUGGCAAUGUAAGUUAAAUGUGAAAUCCUGGGGCUUAACCCCAGAACUGCAUUUAAUACUGCGUUGCUAGAGUGCGGAAGAGGCAAGUGGAAUGGUAAGUGUAGCGGUAGAAUGCGUUGAUAUUUACUGGAACACCAGAGGCGAAGGCGACUUGCUGGGACGUAACUGACACUGAGACUCGAAAGCGUGGGGAGCAAACAGGAUUAGAUACCCUGGUAGUCCACGCCCUAAACGAUGGAUACUAGACGAAGGGGGUAUCGAUCCCCCCUGUGUCGAAGCUAACGCAUUAAGUAUCCCGCCUGGGGAGUACGGUCGCAAGAUUAAA
rnacentral:rRNA from 1 species